AACGAACGCUGGCGGCAGGCUUAACACAUGCAAGUCGAACGCCCCGCAAGGGGAGUGGCAGACGGGUGAGUAACGCGUGGGAAUCUACCCAAUUCUACGGAACAACAGUUGGAAACGACUGCUAAUACCGUAUACGCCCUACGGGGGAAAGAUUUAUCGGAAUUGGAUGAGCCCGCGUUGGAUUAGCUAGUUGGUGGGUA
rnacentral:rRNA from 1 species